rnacentral:rRNA from 1 species
GAUGAACGCUGGCGGCGUGCCUAAUACAUGCAAGUCGAGCGAACAGACGAGGCGCUUGCUCCUCUGACGUUAGCGGCGGACGGGUGAGUAACACGUGGAUAACCUACCUAUAAGACUGGGAUAACUUCGGGAAACCGGAGCUAAUACCGGAUAAUAUAUUGAACCGCAUGGUUCAAUAGUGAAAGACGGUUUUGCUGUCACUUAUAGAUGGAUCCGCGCCGCAUUAGCUAGUUGGUAAGGUAACGGCUUACCAAGGCAACGAUGCGUAGCCGACCUGAGAGGGUGAUCGGCCACACUGGAACUGAGACACGGGCCAGACUCCUACGGGAGGCAGCAGUAGGGAAUCUUCCGCAAUGGGCGAAAGCCUGACGGAGCAACGCCGCGUGAGUGAUGAAGGUCUUCGGAUCGUAAAACUCUGUUAGUAGGGAAGAACAAAUGUGUAAGUAACUAUGCACGUCUUGACGGUACCUAAUCAGAAAGCCACGGCUAACUACGUG